UGGGGAAUUUUGGACAAUAGGCGCAAGCCUGAUCCAGCCAUGCCGCGUGCGGGAAGAAGGCCUUCGGGUUGUAAACCGCUUUUGUCGGGGAAGAAAUCUCUCGGGCUAAUACCUCGGGGGGAUGACGGUACCCGAAGAAUAAGCACCCGCUAACUACGUGCCAGCAGCCGCGGUAAUACGUAGGGUGCGAGCGUUAAUCGGAAUUACUGGGCGUAAAGCGUGCGCAGGCGGUCGUGCAAGACAGAUGUGAAAUCCCCGGGCUCAACCUGGGAACUGCAUUUGUGACUGCACGGCUGGAGUACGGCAGAGGGGGAUGGAAUUCCGCGUGUAGCAGUGAAAUGCGUAGAUAUGCGGAGGAACACCGAUGGCGAAGGCAGUCCCCUGGGCCUGUACUGACGCUCAUGCACGAAAGCGUGGGGAGCAAACA
rnacentral:rRNA from 1 species